ACAAGGGCGGGUCUUCGCCGACACCAUAGAGGUGGGCCGUUGGCGACGUUAGAGGCGCGGGUGUUCGGCUACAUCACUGGGGCGCCAUGGUGCCUGGAGCUGGGCAGUUUUCUCAUCAGAGUGGGGACUGGUAAGAGUGACCUCCCCGCCAGGUUCUGUGUGUUGCCGGCUGAAGAAGGGUAGCUGAAAAAUUCAGACCCAGCACAGUGUUUAUGUUGGUCAAAAAUAGAAAACUAUGUCUGGCGCGGCCGAGGCGGGAGGACCCUUCAGGCCAAGAGCAGCCUAGCAACAUGGCGCAACCCCAUCUCUGUAGUCCUACCUCAGCCCCCCAGCUACUUGAACCCAAAGGUUCAAGGCUCCAGUGAGCUAUGAUCCCACCACAGCAUUCCAGCCUGCGAGAUUGAGGUAAACCCUGUCUAAAAAAAUUUAAAAAACUAUCCAGGUGUGCAACAGGGAGGGACUGCUAAAUAAAACAUGAGGCUGGCUGGGCCCUACUGUAAUCCCAGCACUUUGGGAGGCCGAGGCGGGAGGAUGGAUGGCUUGGGCUCAGGAGUUCGAGACCAGCCUGGGCAACAUGACGAAACCCCGUCUCUACAAAAGAUACAAAAAUUAGCCGGGCGCGGUGGACACCUGGCCUAAUUUUUGUAUUUUUUUCUAGAGAUGGGGUCGGGGGGUGCCUCGCUAUGUUGCCCGGGCCAGUUUCGAACUCCUGAGUUGAAGCAAUCUUCUCACCUUGGCCAUCAGAGUUGUCGGGAUUACAGGCGUGAGGGACAGCGACCCACCUGGGUUAGGCUACUUAAUAACAUAAAGUGCUCCGCCAGGCUCAGUGGCUGACACCUGUAAUCCCAACACUUUGGGAGGCCGAGGCGGGUGGAUCACCUGAGGUCAGGAGUUGGAGACCAGCCUGGCCAUGGUGAAACCCAGUCUCUACAAAAAA
rnacentral:lncRNA from 1 species